rnacentral:misc_RNA from 1 species
AUGGGAUAUCAGUUCUUAUCGCGGCGUUAUAAGAGGAAUAUCCUGUCCACAGACUGUACAUGCCAAGGUCGUCGCGGGAAAAGAGGUAUGAAAGGAGAACCAGGUGAUCCUGGAACGACGGGUCCUAUAGGUCCUCCUGGAAAGCCUGGAUUUCCGGGUGCUAUUGGUAUCGAUGGUCCCAAAGGAGAACCUGGUGAAAAAGGUGACAAAGGAGACAAGGGUGAAAGCGGUUUUGACUUGUUUACAACUACUAAAGGUGGAAAAAGAUCCAUAACGAGGCUGCACGGUGGGACCAUUGGUUACGCUGAGGUUAUAGCCAUUAAGGGUCUUGCUAGCGUAGGUGUUACAGUUUCACCUGGUGAUUUACUACUACUCAAAGGGGAGCCCGGAAGUCCUGGACCUCCCGGUCCUCCGGGGCCUCCCGGACCUACAGGUUUACCUGGAUUCGAUGGACGAGUGGGAUUACCUGGAGAACCCGGUCCGCCUGGAGAACCAGGAGCACCAGGUUCGCCAGGUCCUGUGGGACCUACCGGAAAAGAUGGCAUUUCAGGACCAAAGGGAGACAAGGGUGAUCGGGGAUUUAUGGGAUCCCCCGGUCUUCCUGGUCGACAUGGGGAUCAGGGGCCCCCUGGAUUACCUGGGCCCCCAGGUCUCAAAGGAAACAAAGGUAAUCCAGGAAAAAAUGGAACGAAUGGUAUUCCGGGAGCGACUGGAGAGAAAGGGGAGAAAGGGGAACGUGGCUUGACAACGACUCUGGACGGUAACGCUUUUCCAACUGGAUUCAUAGAAGGACCUCCUGGGCCUCCCGGACCUCCUGGGCCAGCAGGACCUCCGGGGAGAAAGGGCAAGCCUGGCAAGAAUGCCUCUCCAGGUCUACCCGGAGAACCAGGUCCUAAAGGUGAUCGUGGUGCCGCAGGUGAGAAAGGAGAAAAAGGACAAAAAGGAGUAAUUGGUCUUCCAGGGUUCCAGGGUGAGAGGGGUCACAUGGGACCUCCCGGGCUAGAUGGCGUGAACGGUUUGCCGGGCCCACAAGGUGCUCCAGGACUUCCAGGUCAGAUAGGUCCUAAAGGUGAAAAGGGUAAUCUUGGCGACCUUGGACCUCCUGGUUUGAUGGGACCUCCAGGAUUACCUGGGCCCCCGGGAAAAGUCGGUUUACCCGGAGAGAAAGGGGAGAAAGGUGACACGACCCCCAUAAAAUAUAUAAAACAAGCAGACAGUCGAUAUGGCCUCAGCGGAGAUAUGGUCAUCGGACCCCCUGGACCCGCUGGACCUCCGGGUCCUCAAGGUGUUCAAGGGCCUCCCGGCAUAAAGGGUGAUAAAGGAAUGGAUGGUCAAAAAGGAGAACCCGGUGACAAAGGAGAUAAGGGCGAUCCUGGACCAAUGGGACUUCCAGGACCGGUGGGAGUUCGCGGUGAUCAUGGACCGCCUGGAGCUGACGGAAAAAAUGGCGCUAUGGGUCCCCCUGGGUUGGAUGGAAUGAAGGGUGAACGGGGUGAACCAGGUAACAAAGGUGAAAAGGGGGAACCUGGACUUCCGGGAACUGAUGGCAUACCUGGAUUACCGGGUCCUAAAGGUGACAAAGGUGACGGCGGGCCUCCAGGGCCACGAGGAAAACUCGGAAAGCGAGGUGAGAAGGGCGACAAAGGCGACCAGGGCGUUCCCGGACUGGAUGCCCCGUGUCCACUUGGACCUGACGGAUUGCCGUUACCAGGGUGCGGAUGGAGGCCACCAAGUGGGGUCAUCAUUGCCCCUCCAACGACACCUCUUCCCGCGGCGUAGCUGUCCUGUUUGUCGAAAAUGGUCAAACACUGCCACGUAAGACAAGAAAAGUGAUGAAAACGUGAAGUUGCAGUGCUGGACACUGUUGUGUGUUAGCAGGUAUAUGUUUGUUGAAUUGAUGGUGCAAGACAAAGGUGGCCGAAAAGUUUGAACUCGCCAUCUGAAUUGUUAGAGAAUUUUCUCAUCAUCAGAGUCGACAGUCUUGGUUUAGAACUGAACAUUUGUGUCUCUCAGGUCUCAGUCCAGGAUAAGAAUGUGGGGGUAGAAGACUAGAAAAAAAAAACAGUUACUGUGCACUUUGUAUCGUGAAAAAUGUACUCAUAGUUUGAUCAUGUGGAGCCAGGAUUCGACAUUGUUUUGUAUGAAGCGAAAAGGCAUUUUAUUAUCGCCAGUAGAGCAUCGGUUAUCUAAUUUCAGUUAAUUUCUUAAAUUACCGAUUAUUUAAACUACCGUGUCACUGACAAAGCUAAGAAAAUAUUUAUUUUCAGCAACAUUUCAGCAUACUUCGUUUUAUCCUCCAUCGCUAAUGAAAUUCCAGCUGCUUUGUGGAUGUCGAAAAUUCGUGUAAAGCAAUUUUUCUAUUUCUGCAUUUCUGAGAGAAGUCCGGUAAAGUAAGCACUUAAAAACAACUCGUCGAUGUUUUUUAAAUCUUCAGAUUUUCAGUACAUCAAUGGUAUCUAUAUGUUUACUGAUUUAGUGACAAACGUUUGUAAUUAGAUUAUAUUCAUUUGAAAACAAAUCUGUUUUUCAAACACAUGGAUUUCGAGCAGAAACAAGCAAGACUGCCUUGAUGAAAAUAUUCUAAAAAGCUGUAUAAUAUACUGAAAAUGUGGAAAUUAACGAUAAAUAAAAUAUGAAAAUAACAAAUUUCGCCAAAACUAGGUUGACUUCAGUAGUUUUUAUAAUUCUACAAUUAUACGGUUUUUAUGUAUAACGUUUUAAUUAAGUGAAACAAAUCUUUGUGAUUUAUUGGUAAUAAACUUGUUUUCUUCUGCUAUGUUUUAAAAAACUUAAAUAGGAUUGAAUAAUGUAAAGAUUUUGCUGGUAUCCGGAAAAUUCCUAAUGGAGUUUUAUGACUAGGAUUUAUAUUCAAUUAAGUGUCUAAAAUUACAUAAAAUUUAUGAAUUUGACAUUAUUUGAAAUUAACUAUUUGUUUUGCUUUCUCCAGCUAUAUAUUAAACAUUGUAAUUGUUCCCCCCAAUAAAAUUCAUAUUUGAUAGCUUUAAAAUACAAGUAGAUCUUUUUGUUAGCUAAUACAAAGGCCCUGAAAUGCGUAAAUACGCAUUGUCAACACAAUUUAAAUAAAUUGCACUGGUAGAGAUGCUAAUAUAAAAUUCUGUCGCAAGAUAAUAUUUCACUAAUUCAUAUUUACUUUUAGAUUUAUGCAGCUACCUUUUUGUAUGAAUCCCACUUGUAUGAAUUAUUUAAAUUUUAACUUUAAGGUCCAUUAUGAAUGGAUAAACGAUGCUCUACAUAAAUUUCCUUGCACUAGAUCAACCGGAGAACUUUUAUAUUAUAAGUUAAUUCUGAAGUUUGAAAACAAUUUGAAAACAAAAGGCAGACAUAAUCGUGUUCUUAAUAAUGUCUUCACAUUAAAUGAUUGAAUUACUUUUUUCCAUAAUUGAUUAUCUUACUUCUUUCUGUUAUGCGAUCAAAAUUAAACAAUUUUUUAAUCGACAAAAUAUAAAGGCUCAAAAACGUUUUCCAUUUCCAUUUUCUCUUGUUUAAAAAAUGAAUUAUUUGUUCAAAGUUAACCUUUUUAUAGCCUUUAUUUUAUUCUCCCCAAUUUCUGUGUGUAUGUGUUUUGUUUUUGUUUUAAGAAAGUUGCAUUCGAGUAAUAGCUCUGAGAGUUUCAAUAUAUGAUGGUUUAAUAUUUUACCUUAAAUAUUCAGCUGAUUUCCUUAUGUUUUAAAUGGAUGAAAGUUAUUUAAAUAAUUUUAACCAUUCUAAUCUAUUAACGUUAUUAGAUUAAUUUAAAUAGUAUUUUUAAUAUUUUUAUCUCUUAUAAUAUAUAUGACAGAUCUUUGAAUUUCUUUUAUCUUCUUUCAAGUCACGUAGAAAUAAAGAAAACAAUUUUUAUGUCUAUCAAAACGUCGUUUAUAAGACUGAAUAUUGUGAUAUAAAAAAUUUAUUUGAGGUUAUGAAAAGGAGGAUUAUUUAUACAAUUAAUCUUAAAAACUAGAUCUUUAGAUUAAAACUAUAAUCUUAAGAGGAAGGAAUAAAAUUAAAGUUUACAUUUGCUUCUGUCUUGGUUAAAAGUUGUUACCGGUGAUCUAUGCAAGAAAUUAAACGAUACUCAAUCUUGUCAGAUGAAAGAACUUUUUUUACUCUAAGCUAACUAAAGUUUUAAGAAAUAUGGUUUUCAAACUGAACUUGUCGUCAUCUUUAGUUCCGCACAAAACAAGGCAGAAGUUCCCUUUUUAAUAAAAUCAGACUAAGCAAUUGUACUAUUGGAAUUUGAGUGGAAUUAAUUUUUAAUGUCGUAUGAAAAUUAUUAAUCAGAAAGCAUUUCUGUAUAAAUCAUCUGUGAAAACUUCUGAUAAAUGUGCUAAUUGUAAAUUAUACUUGUAUUUUUUCUUUCAUAUCUGUGCUUUUUAGAGUAUUUGUUUGAAAGCCAUUCUCCUUUCAGCUUUAGAUGAAUAAGACUGUCGUUUGUUAAAUCAUGUGGAGUUGUCAUAUAGUCCAUGGCUUCACCCAAAUCAUAAACAGUUUGUUCACUAUUAUUUUAAAAUUUCUGCGUUUAGACGAUCCAGUUAAUAGCUUUGCUUCUCUUGUCGAAGCGAAAGUUUUAUCUUUUAGCUUUCUAGUUUCAAGAUUCAAUGAUAUUUGUGGUUUCUUUGCUUUAUUUAUUCGUACCAAAAUUUUCUCUUUUCGCAUAAUUACGAAAGGUAAAUAAAUAAAUAAAAUGAGUUUUUCUUAAUAAACAGCCUUUAUUGUUACAAUGUAUAACCUUCAGCAAAUUUAGUGCUACAUGAAAGAAUGCGUUUUAUUAUCAUACUUUUUGCCACUUUAUACAUUUUUGCCAUCAGUAAAAGCAAUUUUAAAAUAUUUUCCAUUUAAAAUAUAUACUGCUUUUAAAAAAUUAUUUUAUUCCUUCUUCAUUUUUCGAAAAUAUACUGUAACUAUUACCUUUAAAAUUUCUGAACCUUAAAUUCGAAACUUUUACUCAGACAUAAAACUUUAAAAAAAUUUAAAAUAAAUUUUCGGAAACUUUUAACACACUUAAACAUCCUUUGGGUUUUCAAGAAGAUAAUAAGGAUUAUCAUUUUGUAUUUCACUUUCAACUCUCUAAUAAUAGCCUAAGCGAAUCGCCUAAAAGAUCUGUAUAACUUUCUUUUGGAUAAAGUGUAAUACAGCAAGCUUCACUUUUCAUCGGUUUUUACAUAAUUGUAUGUUAUUAAAGUUCAUGAAAUGAGGAGUAACAAAAUUAGUUUUCACAACAUAAAUUUCGAGAACAUAAGGGUAUAUUCUCUAACUCAAAAGAAUAAAACGGGAUGAAUUAGUCCCUCUGAAUUCAAAUACUUUUCAAGUUAAUAAUCUCUUUGAUGUUUAUCAUAGUUUCAUGUUUAAAAUUUAAGCACAGAUAUAUUUUUUUACAUUGAAUGGGAAAUUAAGAAGCAUUGUAUGAAUUAUUCAGUUUUAAAUUACAGUAAAUGGGAAUGACUAGAAAAUUCUUCGAGCAGUUAAGAUGAAAAUAUUUUGUUUCUUAAGUCUUAAUGAUAUACUAAAUUUUCUUUUUCUGGUACAAACUGUGCUGAAUUUAGUGAAGCCAUGCUUAGAAAUGUCCUCUGUUAUCUUAUUUGGGUGUUUUUUGUCCUGAAUACUUUGUCAUUUUUAAUUUAUUGAAAAAAGGAUACAUUUAUUCUGCGUUACAAGCAUCUAUGUUUUACUCUAAGACGUCAUUAUUUGUUCACCUUUGUAUAUCUAGAACUGCACAAUAAACGUUUUUUGUAACAACA